rnacentral:rRNA from 8 species
UUAAAUUGAAGAGUUUGAUCAUGGCUCAGAUUGAACGCUGGCGGCAGGCCUAACACAUGCAAGUCGAACGGUAACAGGAAGCAGCUUGCUGCUUCGCUGACGAGUGGCGGACGGGUGAGUAAUGUCUGGGAAACUGCCUGAUGGAGGGGGAUAACUACUGGAAACGGUAGCUAAUACCGCAUAA